GGAUGUGAGAGUGAUCUGGCUGCAACAUCUGUCACUCCACUGAUUGCCAGGGUUGAUUCAGCUAAUCCGGCUGAAUACUUCCUCCCUCACCACUUUAAUGUGCAUCCCUCCUGAAGCUGCACGCUCAGAGGACAGUCUUAUCUAAAUAGAAAGACGGUUUUUAUUGAGGGCGUAUAAGUGGUUGUGCUCCCUGCUAGAACUUCCAAACAAGUACUCAAAAAUCAAAGUUAUACACACACACACAUACACAUCAAAAAAAAUUCAUU
rnacentral:snRNA from 1 species